GGCGGGGUCUGAAGCCCAUUUGAAGGUCAGGAGGCCCGAGUUGCUGGCGGUGAUCAAACUGCUGAACGAGAAGGAGCGGGAGCUGCGGGAGACUGAGCACUUGCUGCACGAUGAGAAUGAAGAUUUAAGGAAACUUGCAGAGAAUGAAAUCACUUUGUGUCAAAAAGAAAUAACUCAGCUGAAGCAUCAGGUAUGGUAUUUCUGCAAAGAAUAAAGCAUUUGUGCUAUUCUUAGGCAUUAAAGUUUAUUAAAGGUUUAUAAAAACAAGUGACUAGCUUGUUACUGUUUAGAAUAAACUGGGUUUUUUAAAUUUAUUUUCUAGAUUUAUUGAGGUAUAAAUUGACCCCCAAAAUUGCAUAUAUUUAAGGUAUAUGAUGUGAUGUUUUGAUAUAUGCAUACAUUUUGAAAUGAUUAUGACUAUCAAUAAACUGGUUUUUAAAGAACAAA
rnacentral:lncRNA from 10 species